rnacentral:rRNA from 1 species
UGAUACGUAGGGUCCGAGCGUUGUCCGGAAUUAUUGGGCGUAAAGGGCUUGUAGGCGGCCGUCGCGUCAGGAGUGAAAACUCGGGGCUUAACCCCGAGCCUGCUUUUGAUACGGGCGGACUAGAGGGAUGCAGGGGAGAACGGAAUUCCUGGUGGAGCGGUGGAAUGCGCAGAUAUCAGGAGGAACACCGGUGGCGAAGGCGGUUCUCUGGGCAUUACCUGACGCUGAGAAGCGAAAGCGUGGGGAGCAAACAGGCUUAGAUACCCUGGUAGUCCACGCCGUAAACGGUGGCACUAGGUGUGGGGGACAUUCCACGUUCUCCGUGCCGAAGCUAACGCAUUAAGUGCCCCGCCUGGGGAGUACGGCCGCAAGGCUAAAACUCAAAGGAAUUGACGGGGGCCCGCACAAGCGGCGGAGCAUGCGGAUUAAUUCGAUGCAACGCGAAGAACCUUACCUGGGUUUGACAUACACCGGAAAGCUGCAGAGAUGUAGCCCCCGCAAGGUCGGUGUACAGGUGGUGCAUGG